GGGCUACUAGCUCAGUUGGUAGAGCAACGCCCUUUUAAGGCGUGGGUCUUGGGUUCGAAUCCCGAGUAGCUCA
rnacentral:tRNA from 1 species